rnacentral:rRNA from 1 species
GACGAACGCUGGCGGCGUGCCUAAUACAUGCAAGUUGAGCGAUGAAGAUUGGUGCUUGCACCAAUUUGAAGAGCAGCGAACGGGUGAGUAACGCGUGGGGAAUCUGCCUUUGAGCGGGGGACAACAUUUGGAAACGAAUGCUAAUACCGCAUAACAACUUUAAACAUAAGUUUUAAGUUUGAAAGAUGCAAUUGCAUCACUCAAAGAUGAUCCCGCGUUGUAUUAGCUAGUUGGUGAGGUAAAGGCUCACCAAGGCGAUGAUACAUAGCCGACCUGAGAGGGUGAUCGGCCACAUUGGGACUGAGACACGGCCCAAACUCCUACGGGGGGCAGCAGUAGGGAAUCUUCGGCAAUGGACGAAAGUCUGACCGAGCAACGCCGCGUGAGUGAAGAAGGUUUUCGGAUCGUAAAACUCUGUUGGUAGAGAAGAACGUUGGUGAGAGUGGAAUGCUCAUCAAGUGACGGUAACUACCCAGAAAGGGACGGCUAACUACGUG